GACGAACGCUGGCGGCGUGCUUAACACAUGCAAGUCGAACGGAAAGGCCCUGCUUUUGUGGGGUGCUCGAGUGGCGAACGGGUGAGUAACACGUGAGUAACCUGCCCUUGACUUUGGGAUAACUUCAGGAAACUGGGGCUAAUACCGGAUAGGAGCUCCUGCUGCAUGGUGGGGGUUGGAAAGUUUCGGCGGUUGGGGAUGGACUCGCGGCUUAUCAGCUUGUUGGUGGGGUAGUGGCUUACCAAGGCUUUGACGGGUAGCCGGCCUGAGAGGGUGACCGGCCACAUGGGGACUGAGAUACGGCCCAGACUCCUACGGGAGGCAGCAGUGGGGAAUAUUGCACAAUGGGCGGAAGCCUAAUGCAGCAACGCCGCGUGCGGGAUGACGGCCUUCGGGUUGUAAACCGCUUUCGCCUGUGACGAAGCGUGAGUGACGGUAAUGGGUAAAGAAGCACCGGCUAACUACGUG
rnacentral:rRNA from 1 species